rnacentral:piRNA from 1 species
UCCGAGAUGUUGCAACUCUAUCAGGGAGGAC